rnacentral:rRNA from 1 species
UGGGGAAUAUUGCACAAUGGGGGAAACCCGUACGAUGCAGCGACGCCGCGUGGAGGAAGAAGGUCUUCGGAUUGUAAACUCCUGUUGUUGAGGAAGAUAAUGACGGUACUCAACAAGGAAGUGACGGCUAACUACGUGCCAGCAGCCGCGGUAAAACGUAGGUCACAAGCGUUGUCCGGAAUUACUGGGUGUAAAGGGAGCGCAGGCGGGAAGACAAGUUGGAAGUGAAAUCCAUGGGCUCAACCCAUGAACUGCUUUCAAAACUGUUUUCUUGAGUAGUGCAGAGGUAGGCGGAAUUCCCGGUGUAGCGGUGAAAUGCGUAGAUAUUAGGAGGAACACCAGUGGCGAAGGCGGCCAACUGGG